UGGGGAAUUUUGGACAAUGGGCGAAAGCCUGAUCCAGCAAUGCCGCGUGUGUGAAGAAGGCCUUCGGGUUGUAAAGCACUUUUGGCGGGAACGAAACGGUUCUUUCUAAUACAGAGGACUAAUGACGGUACCCGCAGAAUAAGCACCGGCUAACUACGUGCCAGCAGCCGCGGUAAUACGUAGGGUGCAAGCGUUAAUCGGAAUUACUGGGCGUAAAGCGUGCGCAGGCGGUUAUGUAAGACAGAUGUGAAAUGCCCGGGCUCAACCUGGGAACUGCAUUUGUGACUGCAUGGCUAGAAUCUGGCAGAGGGGGGUAGAAUUCCACGUGUAGCAGUGAAAUGCGUAGAUAUGUGGAGGAACACCGAUGGCGAAGGCAGCCCCCUGGGCUAAGAUUGACGCUCAUGCACGAAAGCGUGGGGAGCAAACAGG
rnacentral:rRNA from 1 species